CCUACGGGAGGCAGCAGUGAGGAAUAUUGGUCAAUGGCCGAGAGGCUGAACCAGCCAAGUCGCGUGCGGGAAGACGGCCCUACGGGUUGUAAACCUCUUUUGUCGGGGAGCAAAGCGAACCACGUGUGGUUCAUUGAGAGUACCCGAAGAAAAAGCAUCGGCUAACUCCGUGCCAGCAGCCGCGGUACUACGGAGGAUGAGAGCGUUAUACGGAUUUAUUGGGUUUAAAGGGUGCGCAGGCGGAGGUGCAAGUCAGCGGUCAAAUUGCGGUGCUCAACCCCGUACUGCCGUUGAAACUGCAUCCCUUGAGUGCGCGAUAAGUAUGCGGAAUGCGUGGUGUAGCGGUGAAAUGCAUAGAUAUCACGCAGAACUCCGAUUGCGAAGGCAGGAUACCGGCGCGCAACUGACGCUCAUGUACGAAAGCGUGGGUAUCGAACAGGAUUAGAUACCCCAGUAGUC
rnacentral:rRNA from 1 species